UACAGAGGUCUCAAGCGUUGUUCGGAUUCAUUGGGCGUAAAGCGUGUGUAGGCGGCUUCGCAAGUUGGAUGUGAAAUCCCACGGCUCAACCGUGGACGUGCAUCCAAAACUGCGUCGCUAGAGUCUCGGAGAGGAAGGUGGAAUGCUUGGUGUAGAGGUGAAAUUCGUAGAUAUCAAGCAGAACACCUGCGGCGAAGGCGGCCUUCUGGACGAUGACUGACGCUGAGACACGAAAGCGUGGGGAGCAAACAGG
rnacentral:rRNA from 1 species